rnacentral:rRNA from 1 species
AUUGAACGCUGGCGGCAGGCCUAACACAUGCAAGUCGGGCGAGUGGCGGACGGGUGAGUAAUGUAUGGGGACCUGCCUGAUGGCGGGGGAUAACUACUGGAAACGGUAGCUAAUACCGCAUACCAUCGGAUGAACCCAUAUGGGAUUAUCUAGUAGGUGAGGUAACGGCUCACCUAGGCGACGCUCCCUAGCUGGUCUGAGAGGAUGAUCAGCCAAACUGGGACUGAGAAACGGCCCAGACUCCUACGGGAGGCAGCAGUGGGGAAUAUUGCACAAUGGGCGAAAGCCUGAUGCAGCCAUGCCGCGUGUAUGAAGAAGGCCUUCGGGUUGUAAAGUACUUUCAGUGGGGAGGCGUUACCGACAGAAGAAGCACCGGCUAACUCCGUGCCAGCAGCCGCGGUAAUAC